GCUCACGGCCCGGGGUGGUCGCGAAGCCUCGGCCCGCGCAGGCCCCGCACAUUUGGGCCGGGUGCACGGCAGCAGGAGGGCGCGGCCCGGAGCAGCUGUCGGACCCCGGGAGUCCCCGGACCGCCCCCGCGGGCAAGGACGCUCAAUCCGACCCCAGACGCCCCGAUCCCGCGGUUCGGGCCGCGCAGGCGCAGUCCCACCCGGAGGGGGCCGCCUGCCAGGGGGCAGGGGCGCAGGAAGUGGGGCGAAACCACUGCCGGCUCACUUCCGGGUCGGUCCGCGUCUCCAGGCAACCAUUUCGCGUCCUGCAGAUUCUCGCAUCUGCCAGGAGCCGCCUCCGGGCGCCUCAGCCCAGCCCCAUUCUGCAGCCUCGGAGACCCCCGCCCAGCCCUGCCUCCGGGCUCGGUGACCCCCGCUCAGGAGACCCCAUCUAGCCGCCUCCUCUGGGCUCCGGGACCAUGGCCCCAGCCAGGCUUCCCGCCCCUGCCAGGCGUUUCUCCCAGCUCGAAGACCCCAGCACAGCCCCCUCCUCCUGGCUUGGAAACACCCAGUCCCUCUGGGAGCUCUGAGAUCCCCGGCCCGGCCGCCUCCUCUAGGUCCCGAUAACCCCAUCUCAGCGUUGCUCUUCAGCCCAGGGUGGCGGCGCCCCCUCCACAUCACCGAACUGCCCCUUACACUGGUGUAGUCUCGACCCCGCCAUGAGAUCCCUCUGUUCUUCCUAGUGUGGUUUCUGUUUUCCUAAGUGGCCCCGGAGUGCUAGAACCCGCUGGUGUCAGGAAGCAUUAAGGAGGUGAACUCCUGCCCAGGCCCCACUGGGGUGUGGUUCUGAGUCUCUGGGACCCCAAAGCCUGCUGUGCUCUUGGGCUCCCAGCCUGCCUUGUCCCCACAUGCCUUCUCCUGGCCUGCCUUGGGCUUGGGGUGGGCUUCCUGCCGGGCAAGGUGCCCAUGGCUGGCUCAGUCUGGCCCUGAGGGCGGGGUCCCCUUCCCUCUCUUGCACCCAAGUCACCUGUGGCUUAUACUUCCCAUACAAAGAGGCUGAGAGGUCGGUGGGGUUGUAGGGCUAAGGUGGCCAGAGACCAUCUUCCUGGGCCAGAAGUGGGUGCCUCCCACCCCACCCCAAACCCAACUGAAAUCAACUCAACUGCAGAGUGAAGAAGGGCUGCCCGGGUGGUGGGCCCAGGGGUCUCAUGCCUGUGUGCUGGGGAAGGUUGGGGUGGGAGAUCCGUGGGGUUCUUUGUGCACCUGGGCAAGGCUCUGCCGCUCUGAGGCCUCCAGGAGAUGCAGCAGGCAGCUGAGAUCGGGGCCAUCCACCUCGGCCAGGCCCUGCAGGUCCCGUGCAGCCCCUGGCACGUCUCCCUUCUUGAGCCGGAGCAGGCCCAGCCGGGCCCGGGCUGCCUCUGACGUUGGGGCAGGGUGCAGGGCUUUUUCCAGAAAAGGAUACAGAGGUCAGAGGAGCAGGGACAGAAGCCCAGACCCUGUGUUUCCCGCCUUGGGGCUGCCGCAUACCCCGUGCCAUGAGAAUGUCUGCCAGGAGGAGCAAUUGCCUUGCGAAUUACAAUACAUAGCCUUACAGCUAUGAACAAGCCCCCAGCUCCCAGAUGCUUUUCAUUUCUUCCAGCAGAGAAUUUCUAUCAGGCAUCAGUUCUCUUCAAUUUCACCACCUUCCCUCAGGAUCUGCUGUGGUGCCAUUCACUGAUGAUGAAUCUCUCAGCUUCCAUUUGUCUAAUGGGUCUUUAAUGUCAUCCUCAUUUCUGAAGGACAUUUUAACAAGAUGGAUAAUUCUGGUUUAUACAGCUGUCAAGAGCCUGGAAUGGCACCCCACAUCCCCAGGUGAGCAUCUGACAGCCUGGAACAGCACCCCACACCCCAAAGGAGCAUCUUACAGCCUGGAACAGAACCCCACACCUUCAGGGGAGCAUUGUACAGCCUGGAGCGGCAUCCGUACCCACAGGUGAAUGUGUGACAGCCUGAAACAGCAUUCUCCAACCCCAGGUGAGGAUCUGACAACCUGGAAUAGAACCCCACACCCACAGGUGUGCAUCUGACAGUCUGGAACAGCACCACACACUCCCAGGUGAAUGUGGGACAGACUGGAGCAGCAUUCUCCAGCCCCAGGUGAACUUGCGACAAUCCAAAACAGAACCCCACACACCCAGGUGAGCAUCUGACAGCCAAGGAUGGCACCCCACACACCUAGGGGAGCGUCUUACAGCCUGGAACAGCACCCCACACCCCCAGCCUGGAACAGCACCCUCCAUCCUCAGGUGAGCAUCUUCCAGCCUGAAACAGCACCCCACACCCCCAGGUGAAUGUCUUACAGCCUGGAACGGUAUCCACACCCACAGGUGAGUGUGUGACAGCCUAGAACAGCAUUCUCCAACCCCAGGUGAGCUUGUGACAAUCUGGAACAGGACCCCACAACCCCAGGUGAGCAUCUGAGAGCCUAAAACAGCACCCUCCACCCUCAGGUGAUCAUUUGACAGCCAGGAAUGACAACCCGCAUAAGCAUCUGACAGCCUAGAAUGGCACCCCCACACUUAGGUGAGAAUCUGAAUGCCUGGAUCAAUGCUCAAACCUUCAGGUGAGCAUCUGACAGCCUGGAACAGCAGUGCCCACACCCAGGUGAGCAUCUGAAACCCUCCAGCAGCACUCACCACCCCAAGGUGAGCAUUUGACAGCCUGGAACAGCACCCUUCAUGUUCAGGCAGCUGAAGCAGAGAUAGAAGGUGGCAUACGUCAGCAUUUUCUUCUAUGAACUUAUAAGAUCAAAGACUUUAAGACUUUCACUAUGUCUUCUACCGCUAUCUACUACAAACUUCAAAGAGGAAUCAGGAGUACGGGAGGAGCAUGAAAGUGGACAAGGAGUGUGACCAUUGAAGCACCACAGGGAGGGGUUUAGGCCUCCGGAUGACUGCGGGCAGGCCUGGAUGAUAUCCAGCCUCCCACAAGAAGCUGGUGGAGCAGAGUGUUCCCUGACUCCUCCGAGGAAGGGAGACUCCCUUUCACGGUCUGCUAAGUAACGGGUGCCUUCCCAGACACUGGCGUUACCACUUGACCAAGGACCCCUAAAGUGGCCCUUAUGCGGGCGUGACAGAGGGCUCACCUCUUGCCUUCUUGGUCACUUCUCACAAUGUCCCUUCAGCACCUGACCCUAUACCCACCGAUUAUUACUAGAUUAUGUAAGUAAUGCAACAGAGAGUAAUAUUAAAAGCUAAUGAUUAAUAAUGUUUAUAAUAA